CCCCCCCAACAGAUUCCUUAAGGACCUACUCCACAAUCUUUCCAGGCCCUUCUUCUUUUGUCUCCCUCCUUGACAGUCUUAGACCUAUUCCUGACAUUCUGGAGGGAGGCUGUCCUGUUGCUAUUUCCUGUUAACUGCUCGUAGGUUUUGAAGUGUGGAUGCUCUUCUUCUUGCAAAGAAAAUUCUUUUCCGUAUCUUCGUGGAGCUGAAUGAGGGAAGACUUCUUAGUUUCCCGUUUCAACUCUUUACUCAACAUUUAAUUCAUGGAUCCUGUAUCAGCUGGCUUCCCCACUGAUGGCACCCACCCAGCAUCUUGCCGCACCUCGAAUGCAGGGCAAUUGAAAUUAGCAUUUGUUUCCAUGAGAGUUGUCUUCUGUGCCAGCUUUUCACUUUGUUUUGCAUUAUGUUUCACAGCGGAGAAAUGAUUUUUGUAAGUAAAUGCACACAGAAGCCAGUCUUCUUGACUGGUAUCUCUUUUUGUCUUAGGAAGGUAACUUUUCCCACUGUGCCCUACUGGGGAUCCUAAAAAUGGAUAAAGUGUCUGCACAUGUUGCUUUGUCACCCUGGUUCAACAUGUAUGAAAAGUUGCAGCAGGAAAAAAAGGAUACACUUUUCAUCCUGAAGCAUGGAAAAAAAAAUCCUGGAAAUUCCAUAAUGGGAAUUUCUUAACCGAGAACAAAGGCCUGACUUUGCAGAUAGGCAUCGUAAUGUCACCUCAUGUAAAGCAGCUAAUGCACAGGAACAAAUACAAAGCCACCUUGUCCAUAGUUUAUUUCUAUGAGCAGAAAUAUAGCUGCAUGUGUGAGUCCACAUAAGUCCUGGAUAUGAAGAGCUUUCACUGGGAUAAGAAAGUGAAAAGCUACUUCUAAUUUCUAGCAAGCCCCUUCCCAAGGAAGGUGAAGUUUCAGUGACCUGUAGUACUAAAGAAGAUCCUGUAGAGAUGGGAUCUACAUCAUUUCCCCAGUUUUCUCCAGAAGCUUUAGUGGCAAAAGGAACAAAAACAAGAGUUGGACAAAACUGAUCUCUUUAUUAAAGGAACUGACCUCUGGUGGGAUGAGAGGCCAGAAGUGUAAAGCCCCAACUCAUUAGCUUCUUGGUGCCAUUUCAGUUCUUCAUACUGCUGAUGGAGUUGGGUAUUAACUCUUCUGUGGCUAUUGGAGAACUGGGACUGCAACAUUCAUGGUUGGAGGAGGAAAGCAGUCUGAUGGGAAGAACUUGCAGCCACUUGGAGGAACAAGUCAGAGAGAGCAAAAAUGCUGAGGAAUGGCUUUUUAGGCUCCUCCUAUCUUUCCCAAACCAGAAGAAGAUCAUAGUUCUCACAUGUUUACAAAAAGUUCUUUGUUUCCAUCACUUGUGAUUAUACAGGAUGUUUUCCUUCCUCUUGAGAUAGGAGUAUAUAUCAUUUAGUUGCUUCCUCUAGUUUCUCUCUGUAGUCAGUGAGGUUUCUUGGUGGAAAGGCCAGAAUUUGGUUCUCUUGUUUUCUUCCAUUUGUAUCUGGAGCUCUUUUUAGUGCACCUUAUUCCAAGCUUAUAUUAAUGUGAAUUUAGCAAAUGUGACUUUAAAAAAAUUAUAUUUUAAAAAUCUGGAACAAAAUGGAUUUAGGUUUUGUUUAUGUUUGAUUUUUUUUUUUUUUUUUUUU